GGGGCUGAGAAAAGCACAGCAGACUGCGCCCGGAGAAGUCCUGGAACAGCGUCACCGGACCCGGGUUCGAUUCCCGGCAGCUCCA
rnacentral:tRNA from 1 species